UGUCUUCAGGGCGAGGUGCAAUUCCUCACCGGCGGUUAUAGCCCGCGACCCGAUUCAUUUCGGUUGACUUGGUGAAAUUCCGAGGCCGACAGUUAAAGUCUGGAUGGAAGAAGAUU
rnacentral:ncRNA from 1 species